CCCGGGCAGCUCGGAAAUUCUGGCUGUCAGACUGGAACAGGACCUCUCCUUGGAAGCUGCUAUAUAUCCAAAGAAGAUGAACAACGGGAUGCUGAGGGGCAGCAGAGACCAGGAGGCCAUGGCUGUGACUGAGGAACGCCCCGCCCAGACGAUCAGCCCCACCUUCAUCCUCCAGGAGACCUCACUGUGAUCCUGACCCGGGACCCUCUGUCCACAUUCUGCCAGGCACACCCUGCCCCCCAUUACCUCAAGCCCCUUGUCUCGAAGGCCAGGACUGAAUCACUGUGUCCGCC
ensembl:lncRNA